rfam:Gossypium arboreum cultivar AKA8401 contig_17758_7, whole genome shotgun sequence.
ACGCAUGAUGAGGCCACCUUCUCAAAAGACCCUUAAAUCUCUCCCAUGUAUCAUACAAUGUCUUAAGCUCGAGUUGAGCAAAAGAAAAGAUUUCAUUCCUCAACUU